UACGAAGGUCCCAAGCGUUAUCCGGAUUUAUUGGGUUUAAAGGGUGCGUAGGCGGCUUAUUAGGUCAGUGGUGAAAGCCCCAAGCUUAACUUGGGAACUGCCAUUGAUACUGAUGAGCUUGAGUAGAUUUGAGGCGGGCGGAAUGUGUCGUGUAGCGGUGAAAUGCUUAGAUAUGACACAGAACACCAAUUGCGUAGGCAGCUCGCUAAACUCUUACUGACGCUGAGGCACGAAAGCGUGGGGAGCGAACAGG
rnacentral:rRNA from 1 species